CGAUGCGAUCAUACCAGCACUAAAGCACCGGAUCCCACCAGAACUCCGAAGUUAAGCGUGCUUGGGCGAGAGUUGUACUAGGAUGGGUGACCUCCUAGGAAGUCCUCGUGUUGCAUUCC
rfam:Setaria italica strain Yugu1 chromosome VIII, whole genome shotgun sequence.